AUAGCUCAAUUGGUAGAGCAGCUGGCAUAUAUCCAGAAGGUUCCAGGUUCAAUCCCUGGU
rnacentral:tRNA from 1 species